rnacentral:lncRNA from 1 species
CCUAACUUUUUCCAAAUCUGUUUCGCUUCUCCUCGAAGAAGGCAACCCAUCUCUCUAUCCAACCUCAGAUAACCAUGAAACAAAACCGUGUAUAUUAUCAAAUCAGGUUUUAUCCCUCUCUGCUUCAUCGCUUCGAAAAGAUCACUGGCUUUCUGCAACUCCAUUAGCCUAGAGUACGUCUGAAUCAUGAUCGUAUAAGUGACGAGAUCAGGGAGGUUUCCUCUCCCAACCAUUUUGUCAAACACCAGCUCGGCUUCCCUCACGCUAUCUACCUUACUUAUCAUUUUACCGUACAUGCUCCUCGCGGGUUCGACUCCAUAAGCCCACAUCCUUUUCAGCACCCUCAGAGCUUUGCCCUGACAAUUCUUAUUAUCCUCGUCGCAGAGAGCGGUAAACAGUUUAAAGCACAGGUUCUUGGGCAGAGGAGAGUUUAGCUCAACAAAUUUUCUAUAGGCGUCUUUAGCAAGGCCGGAAUCACAAUAGCCUUUCACCAAGCUGGCGUAAUUCUCCGGGCACUUGUCUUCAAGACUCGUGAAGAACUCUCUGGCUUCUUCUAAUUUACCCGCGGAACAGAGGCCGUCGAUGAUCACACUGUGGGUCACAGCAGUGGGCUCUACACCUUCAUUUCUCAUAGCUUUGUAAAUCUCAACCGCCUUUUCGCUAUGACCGUUCCUGGCGAGCCCACCGGCAAUCACGUUGUACGUGAUCACAUCAGGAUCCGUGCCCUUUGCUCUCAUCUCAUCAAACAAAUCGAGCGCAUCGGCGAAUCUGCCUUGAAGGCAGUAGCCGUCGAUCAGAGUCGUGUAGUUGACGACAUCAGGAACCAUUCCUUUAUCCAUCAUCUCUUCGAGCAGCUUCAUAGCUUCGUCCACUCUCUCGAGCUUGGUAAGAGCUUCGAACGCGGCGUUGUAACACACCUCGUCCAGGAAAACAUCCAUCUCUUUGAACUCUUGGAACCUUUUCAACGCUUCCAGCCACAUCGCGGACUCACGCAACGCUCCCAUCUUACAGUAGCAAUCGAGGAUCGAACUCACGAUCACGCAGUUGAUCCUCAGUCCCUUUUGCAGCAUCGCAUCCACGAUUCUCAAAGCUUUAUCCAACUCCAAGCUUUUGCAGUACAAAUCGAUUAUCACCGAGCAAGCGUAAACAUCAGGACCGAUACCAAACUCCUCCAUUUUGAAAAUAACUUGUUCCGCGGCUUCUGCAUUCAUCUCCUUGCAGAAUCCGCGAACCAGCAUCCCGAACGCGAACCCAAGCGCGUCACCAGAGAGAGCUUUCGCAUCUAUCAGGUCGUCAAUCAAAGCAAAAGCCAUCUCUGUCUUGCCGUUCAAACAAAGCCCUUCAAUAAAAGUCGUAUAAGCAAACACGCUGGAAGUCUCUCCGAGCAGCCUCGCGGCUCCGUCCAAAUCGCGUUUUCGACACAAGGCCUUAACCACAAUCGCGUAAGUGUAGUCGUUCGCGGACAGGCCAAGCUGGUUAAGCUGGCGGAAAAGAGCCACCACCAUAUCGGUUCUACCGAACUCGACCAAACGGUUCAUCAAGAAGUUGCAGGACUUGAUGCCAGGGACGCAGCCCAGGCGUCUGCUCUGGUACAAGACAUCUAUAGCUUCGUCGAACAUACCGAGGCCGACGUAGGCUUUAACCAAGGCGCCGGAGACUCGAGCCAAGAGGAAGUUAGAGGAGUCAGCACCUUCUUCUUCCCCGAUUGCUUCCAUCAGCUCCAUCACGCGGAUAAAGGUUUCAUCGCAUACUAAUGAAGGCUGUUAUAUACAAGAAGAGAGCUGGGUGGAGGUUCUGUGUCAAGGAGGUAGUAUGUCAGUGAAUCAUCCUUUUGUGACUGUUCCACGGACUUUCCGGGACUAGUUCGUUCGGGACGAGUUUAUCAGUGGAACGAAAAGAACAACCAAAUAAGCAAAAGGAAGAAGGCACUAUGAAAGAGGACGAAGAGAAGAACGUGACUGUUAAUGCACCGGUGCAAAAAAAAAAAUUUGUAUAUUCCAGCACGGUCCAAGAUUUGGAAACUCUACCAAACCAAUCGCCAACUUCGUCUGAAUGCAAAAUCUCUCUCUAUAUAUUGAUAAAAUCCAAACCGAUAACGAUUGCUCAAUAGUCAACAAGUGUUAAUCAUGAUAUCAGAUAUCAGAGACGAAGGUCUCAUGUCAGACCCAGUACAAAUAUCAAACAUAAGGAAAAGUGUAAAAAAAAACGUACACGGUAUGUGUACAUCCAGAACAUUUCCUCCCAACUCAGCUUCGGGUUCUUCAACUUUGUUAUACUCCCAAGCUCAUCACUGCCUUAAGAAGACGACCCUACGGAACAUAUCAUCUUCUAAAACGGUGAAUCAAGAUACGGUCAAGUGGAGGGGAGAUUUGUAUCCGUCAACAUCAACAGACUUGCCCCCAGCAUAUCCAUGGGUUUUGUGAGAUACAUACACGUAGAUCCUGGUUUUCCUGAAUAAUGCAAAGAUUAUGUAAACUACGAAAAAAGCGGAGUGCAAUAAUCCUGCAAGAAAUGAGCUCUCACAGUCAUAUAAGUGGAUAACAUGCAGCUAUUUCUGUGGCUCCUCCUCAGACUCUGGUUCCCAUACAGCAAGAGUACUCAUGCCCUGUUACAUUAAUAGACGAUUAGCAAUAAAACAAUAAGCAAUUUAAUCAGAAAAAUACCCCACUUCCCCUUACCGGUGUAGUCUUUUGAUUUCUCUCAAUGUUUUGAAUUCUACCUUUUUUUGCCUCCAAAUAAGAUGCAAAAUUAAAUAUAUAGAUCACUUGCAAAUCCAUGCUUGACCUUUCAAAUAUACACUCUUCAUUUCCGAUACUGAGAUCUCCUGGUCUUCAUAGCACGCUUAACUACAGCAAACAAAUGUUCAGGCAGUGUAAUAUCCUUUCCUGACAACUCGGUAACAAGUGCAUCUGUGCAUCCUUUGCGAUGACAAGCAGAUAUUAGAACAUUGUAGGUCACAUUAUCAGGCUUCAGCCCACACUCUAUCAUUCGAUAAAGGAUGUCGGUGGCGAUAUCUACGUUGCCAAUCUUGCAAUGGUGAUUCAUCAGAACAGUAUACAUCUUAACGUCUGGUUCUAUACAAGCAGCUCCUAACUUUUUCCAAAUCUGUUUCGCUUCUCCUCGAAGAAGGCAACCCAUCUCUCUAUCCAACCUCAGAUAACCAUGAAACAAAACCGUGUAUAUUAUCAAAUCAGGUUUUAUCCCUCUCUGCUUCAUCGCUUCGAAAAGAUCACUGGCUUUCUGCAACUCCAUUAGCCUAGAGUACGUCUGAAUCAUGAUCGUAUAAGUGACGAGAUCAGGGAGGUUUCCUCUCCCAACCAUUUUGUCAAACACCAGCUCGGCUUCCCUCACGCUAUCUACCUUACUUAUCAUUUUACCGUACAUGCUCCUCGCGGGUUCGACUCCAUAAGCCCACAUCCUUUU